AGUGGGAAUCUCUAUUCCGAAAGAGUACGAGUGCUAAUCCGAAAAGGAGGAAACGCGAGGAUCACUGGGAGAUCGCACGCGGGCUCGGAUGUUUGGGUGCAAAUGUGCUCGAUCAGAUCAUGGCAGGAUUGGGCCCGCGCGGUUUGGGGCCAUGAUGCAUCCCUCUAAACCCUACAAAUGCGCAUUUAAACUUUAAUUUAUACUAACCUGUGCCAAACAAAAAUAUAAUAUUAACUUAGUGAUUUUAUCGUUAUAUGUUAGCAGUAAUACUAAUUUAAGCAGCAUGUAGAUCGCACUUUUGUGCUCUCAUCAGGGUCGACUUGAGAUGGCUGGAGUCGACUCCAAUGAAGUUGGCUAGGAGGAUGGCUCUAUUUUGAGGUUAAAAACAAGGGAAGUUUGGGUAUGUGGAAAGAAAGAGGCUUGUUCGCAUGGAGAGAAAGAAAUUGAUGGGAUGCAGUGGGUCCAGGCAUCAUCCAAUUGAGUUUGAUUCGACCUGCAUACAUUAGGCUUGAUCAACAAAUAAUCAAAUCAAACUUGAAUUACUUCUAAUUUAUUAAAAUGUGCUGAUGAAAGGAAAUACAUUUUCUUAUGUUUAAAUCUAAAAAGAUGUGCAUAAAAAUAAUAAUAAGGGCUAUGUAAAAUAGAUUAAUUUAUACAUUAUUUAGCACUUAUCACAUCCCCAAACCUACAUUUUGCUAGUCCUCAAGCAAAAUAAAAAAUGAAAAAAAAAUUAACUCACUUUUGCAGGAAUCGCGAUUGCAUUUACCGUAUGCAAUAAGGCUUUAAACCCCUAUGUGGCCCUAGUGGACGAGUUUUGUCUCGUGAGGAUUUCCGGCGCAGAUAUCCACAAACUGCUGUCUCUACCCAAAGAAUUUAUUUUAUUAUUUUCUAAAAUCUAAUCUCAAAUGCAUAAAUACCAAGAAUUUUAAAAGUACACAAAGUUUUAAUUACUAAGUCAGCCCAAAUCCUAGGUCAGUAUGCAACUUAAGUUGAAGUCAUUAAGUUUCCGUUAGGAAGUUAUAAGAUUUAUCUAUACUUGGGUGCUCGGUGAAAUCUGGACUAUACACAAACUAAGGCUUUAGACCCUCCAAAAUACUGCUAAAGCUAGUAGUUUUCAAGAAUUGAUCGGAUAGGACCUAAUCACUGAUUCAAAACCAUCCUAUCUUGCAGAAUUUCGAGAGUUGUGGAUGUUUACUUUAAUACCUCGUGGGCUUUAUCUGUAAUAUUCCAGUUUACUUAAAUUUUUACAACAACGGCUUUCACACUAUCGUCUUUAUCAAGGUCAAUUAUUAUUAUUAUUAUUUCUCUAUUAUUUGUUUUUUCUCUUUUUUUUGUGUGUAUAUAUUGUGCACUUUUACUCUUGGAUGAUUUGUCCAUGUAGUGAGCAUUUAGUCAACAACUCCUACCCCAGUUGGCGUAAGGUGUUGGGCAUCAAGACUUCCCUACGGACCUAUGCUCGGGUUCAUCAUCGCAAGCCCGCUGACCUUUGACAAUAGGUAGCCCUUUUCGAUUUACCUGACUAAAUUCACUCUUUUUUUUUUAAUAAAUAUGAGAUAAUAGUGAAUUAGAUAGGUAUGAUUCAUCAGGACUCAAGGUUGCUACCAGACUUAACAACAUAAUGUUGAACCUAAUCCUUAGAAGUGCAGUCCAUGUAUGUUGUGAAAUUCCAAAGUAAAAAUUAUCUUACAACUUGCUAAAAGAACUUUUAAUAAAAAAAACUCAAAUUGUCUUACUUCUGACUAGUCAUUGGGCUUGUUAGAUUUUAUAUACUUUGUGCAGUUAUCAUUUCAGCACUAAUAGAAAUUAGAUUCAUUUUUUUUAAUAUUAUUAUUUUUUAUUAUUUUAUUUUAUUUUAUUUUGGACGAAAAUAUGAUGCAUAUGGAGGAUAGAAGCAUUUUACCUUAGUUGCAUCAGUAAUAUGAUGACUCCUGUUAAGAAAUUACAAAAAAAUUACGACAAGAAAAUGUGCAAAAAUGACCUAUGAGAAUUGGGUUGCCUCCCAACAAGCGCUAAGUUUAACGUCUUCAGCCAGACGCAGCGUAUCCUUAUCAAAUCAUACGGGGUUCAUGCUGAGUUUUUCAAGGAAGAAAAUUUGUGAGAGACUGAUUGUCGGGCAAGGAGUUGAUUGCUUCUAUGGCCUUGUCUAUCUCAAAGUCAAAAUGGGCCGAGCAUGUUUUCAGAGGAUCAUCUACCAAAAUAUAGGGAAUGUUUUCUUCUACAAGAUCGUUCAUUUUGUCUAUUAGGAAGCACUCAACUUCCUUUGCAGGUUGAUCAGAGGUACGAAAUAUAUUUAACUUGACCUUCAUAUUCCCAAAAGAUAUAUUCAUCACCCCAGUUCUACAAUUUAUACAUGCAUUGGCUGUAGCUAAAAAGGGAUGACCUAGAAUCAUAGGGAUCUGUUUCUUAAGAUUAGGCACAGGUUCCAUAUCAAGGACGAUAAAAUCGACUGAAAAAUAAAAUUUAUCUACCUUGACUAGGACGUCUUCAAUUAUUCCUCGUGGUAUUUUUACAGAUCUAUCAGCCAAUUGCAGAGACACCGAAGUAGGCUUUAGUUCACCUAAUCCAAAUUUCUCAUAAACUGAGUAAGGAAGAAGAUUAACAUUGGCUCCUAAAUCUAAGAGUGCCUGAUCAAUAAGAUUAUCUCCUACGAUACAAGAGAUGGUGGGGGCACCAGGAUCUUUGAACUUAGGGGGGAUUUUGUGCUGGAGGAUGGAGCUCAUUUGUUCAGUUAGAAAGAUCUUUUUAGGCACAUGUCCUAGAUUUUCGUUUCUGGAUACAAAGGUCCUUGAGAAAUUUGGCAUAGGAUGGAACUUGUUUUAUGGCAUCAAGGAGAGGGAGGUUGAUUUUGAUUUAUUUAAAAACCUCCAUUAUUUCUUCUAACGAGGUUCCUUUCAUGCCAAAGGGAGAAGGUGCAUUCAGACAUUGAGGGAAAAGAGCAUUCGGUGUAAAAAGUAUGGUCGGUUCUGGACUAAAUGGUGACAAAGAAGAGUUUGGAUUCUCCUUAGGCACAGUCAUACCUUUGUCAUCAUUUUCCUUAUGCUCUUGUUCUCCAACCUUAUUGUCUACUAUACGUCUGCUUCUUAAGGUAGUCAUGGCGUUAGCUUGUUCAUGGUGAACAUCAUUUGGGUGAGUUUCUUGAGCCAUGUACUGUCCUCUCGGAUUAUUCACUGGUUGGCUCGGAAGCUUGCCUUCCUGUCUCCUAUUUAGUACACUCGCUAGCUGCCCUAGCUGGGUUUCUAAUUUGGCAAUAGACUGGGUAUGGGAGUGCAACAAUUGUGUCUUGGCUUCUAGUCCUUGAAGGGCAGUCAAUACUUUUUGCUCAAAAGCCAUAUCUCUUUGGGGUGCUGGAGGAGAGACAUGCUGGAAUUGUGAAUAGUGAGUAGGAGGACGGUUCGGAUGAAUAUUCUGGAAGGGUUGAAAGUUUUGCGAAUAAGGCUGAGAGGUAUUGGGAGUCUGCGGUUUCCAAGAGAAGUUUGGAUGGUUGCGCCAUCCCGGAUUGUAAGUAGUAGAAUAUGGAUCAUUACCUAGUCGGGAUUUUAUUUGGGCAGCAUUAACUUGUUCUUGCAUAAAUUCAGAAAAUUGAGCUGCCGAAGGGCACUCAUAAACAGGAUGAGCCGGGCUAGAACAGAGAGCACAUACUUGUACUUGGGAAAAAUUUGGAAGUUGUUCUCUAGAUAUUAGCUGGUCCAAUUUGCAGGACAGUGCAUCUACUUUAUCAGAUAGACCUAUGGACUGGCUAACUUCAUAUAUGGUUCCUUUUUUUUAGGAACUCAGGGGUGCUUGACGAGCGGAGGAGGCAUGGUGGAGGGAAUUUUUAUUGAGAUUUUCAAACAAUUGCCAUGCCUCAUGUUCACUUUUAAGUAUGAAAGUUUCCCCACAAGAAGCAUCAACCAUCUGACAAUUUCGUUCAGACAACCCGUCAUAAAAGCAUUGCACUAAUUGCCAUUUGGGUAUUUGAUGAUGUGGGCAUUUUCAGAGUAAAUCUCUAAACUUUUCCCGGAUUUCAUGAAAUUCUUCCCCGUCAGAUUGAGAGAAGCUCGUGAUAGCACGCCUAAAUUGGUUUGUUCUUCCUAUGGAAAAAUAUUUCUUUAGAAAUUUAUGUUGCAUUUGGGCCCAUGAAAGAAUAGAAUUGGCUUCUAAUAAAUGGAGCCACUGCUUAGCUCUAUCCUUAAGAGAAAAAAGGAAUAGCUUAAGUUUCAGAGCAUCAUCAGUGAAGUUCUGAAUUUUGACAGUAGUGCAGAUCUCAAGGAACUCAUCUAAAUGUUUGUAUGGGUCUUCAUUGUUGAGUCCAUAAAAAAAGGGAAGCAUUUGGAUGACACUAGACUUAAUUUCAAACUAUGCAGCAGCAGUGGUAUCAGGUAGCCGAAUACAAGAUGGGGAGGUAUAAAUGGAAGGAGUGAAAUACUCCUUUAGCAGCUUGGGUUGUUCUUCAGCCAUCUCGACAGGUGGUGUAGAUCCUAAAGUUCAAUAGGUGCGGAUUUCGGCUCGAAGGGUCCUAAUAGAACGCUCUAUUUCAGGGUCAAAAGGUACUAGUUCAGGAGAUCUAUAACGACAUCCUUGCAUCCACUAAAGCUCUUCUGAUUAAUUGAGUGCAGUCAAGUAUGUAAUAAAAACACAUCAAAUUCUUGUGUUUGCCCUAAAAUCACUAGACAGCUCCUAACUGGUUUGAAGAGGGCACCUAAGCCUCCAAUCCGGUCUAAUGAACUGAGUUGACCAGGUAAACUCUCAGGUAAGUGGGGGGGUCACGAUGCAUUCACAAAGGUCCCAAUUAAAAACCACUUGCCUCGAACAGAUGAACUGUCUUCCUUAGAGGGAUAAAGCUUGCCUAGACAUCAACUAAACCACAGAGCGAAAUUGGUGCAACUUUCGGUGAUCUUCAUCUUAUUGAGCUCGAAUGUCCCUAGAGGCCAACGUCUAAUUGAUUUUAAUUAAAGUGAUUGCUAUGUGAGAAUUGGUUGACCUAAUUUGGGCAAGAAUUUGGUGAUGAAAUCCAAUUCUUAUUUUGUUGGGGUGAUUGCCCUUACUAUGUGCGUGAUGAAUUAAAUAGUGUGUCAAGCAAUAAUACACGCCUUACUCAAAUUAAGUCAAACAAUCACAACAAGGAUUCAAAUGCAUGAGCAACCUAAAUAAUAUCUAUUCAAGCACUCGUAGUUUAAAGGGGGCAACAGACUAGACACACAUAUACCGAGACAUAUGUGUCGAGCUUCCCCACUACGUUUGCAAGCUGAUGCGCGAAAAGACAAGAAAGGUUUAGAGGUUACCAAGCAAAAAUUUCAGCAAGCUAAUUGAUCAAACCUCUUCAGUACUUGUCCUUUGGUCGUCCAAAAUUCUUUCCUUCUUUCUUUUCCUUCUCUUUUAUUUUUGAUAAUCCUAACAAAACAAAUAAUGGUUAGUACAUCUCAAAAAUAUGGCAAUAUAAGAAAGUAGAAAACAACCAUGCUAGCAAUCCCCGGCAACGGCGCCAAAAAUUGAUAGUCAAUUUUAAAGACCACGAAUAGUACGUACCUUGUAGCUUAGUGAUUACGGGUAUCGAUCCACAAGGAUUGGGGUACAAUUAUUUUCUUAAAAAUAUUUGAAAAAGAGAGUUUGUGAGGACUAUUAAACUAAGCAAUUUAAUAAGGAAUGCAAUCAAAAAUGGUAUACAUAGAAGAGUUUAGGGCAAGGAAUUCACCACUAACAUAGGAACAAGGGUUAUUUGUAAUUUAUUUCAUUCUUGGAUUAUUAUGCAAAUUGGCUACAAGCCUAAUAAGCAUUUGAAUAAAAUUUCAUCAAAGUAAUUUAGGCAUAGUCCAUCUUUAGUUAGCAUGAAAUGUCUACCCUAAUCUAAGGUGGCAGCACAUCGUAUCUUUCUUAAGCAUGAACUAUCUUAUUUGUACUUUAAUGAUCAUGAAGAACAUUUGUAUAGACAUUAUACUUAAACUCACUAUUGCCCAAGGUGACAACCCAAGAGGGAGGGUAAAUUGGGUUUUUCUAAACUUUUGGUGCUUUAAAGAUUUUCUUAGUUAAGUGCGGUGGAUGCUUUCUUAAAUUAUUUGAAUGAAUUAAACUAGAGCAAAAAUGAAAGAAAAUGCAAGAAUAAACAUAAGAACGAGCACAACACAAACACAACGAUAUAUAGUAGUUCGGUGCACCCCAAGGCACCUACGUCCACUCCCCAAACAUUUUCUUGGGAAUUUUACUAUAACCCCUCGGAUUACAGUAGGAUUAUUUUCUGGGCUCACAAUCCAAAACCUUUACAAUUGGUUUUUCGGGAUCACCAAUAAACCUAACUGUUGAUUUUACGGGCUUACCAACAACCUACGUUGGUUUUACGGGUUGACCAACAACCUACGUUGGUUUUACGGGCUUACCAACAACCUACGUUGGUUUUACGGGCUUACCAACAACCUACG
rnacentral:lncRNA from 1 species